CUGGAGAAUAUAAACCCAUUACAAUGAACCUGAACUUUGCAAGGUUAGGAUCGUAAGAAACCCACCAUCACCAUCAACACUCUCAUCUUCUCUCACUCUAAGAAACCCACCAUCACCAUCAACACUCUCAUCUUCAUGGUUCCAAACCAGCAAAAUCCCACACCCAAUCAACGGAUUUAACUCCAAUUUCAAUGAUGAUGGUUCUGAUGAUGACUCUCUUCAUUUGCACUUUGAGAAAGAUGUCUCGUCGCAGGUGAAUCAUCUUCGUACACCUCUUUUUUGCAAUGGUUUUCGCGAUUUUCAUGAGUUUGAGAGUAUGUGAGGUUGCUUAAUUUCAUCAUUGAUGAACCUGUGAAAAGUGUGAAAUUGAUGACUCUGUUGUGAAUCAAGUGGGUUUUGGAACUUCGAAACAAAAACGUCAAUAUAGAAACGAGCAGGAGAAGGCUUGAAUCGGAGGUUCAACCUGAAUCAAGUAGGGGGUUUGACCGAUUUACCCAGACCAAGAGAGGGAGGGAGGGACAGAGAGGCGUGGCGGCGUAUGGCUGAGCUGCGGCAGAGUUGCGGCAUCGAUGCCGAUUUCCGACGUGUACACAACCCCUGCGACGCACUCACAUCAUCAUACUUUCUUCUCUUGUCUCUGCUGCGUGUGAUUCAAGCUGAAGCAACAACAGAGGCUCAGAUUGUGAUGAAUUGGGGAAGAAGGAAACCCACCACAACCACCCAGAUGAAUUGUGUCAUCUUCAAACGGAUUUAUAUGGGUGAUGAUGAACCCUAAUCUGCAAAGGUGAAAGGAUUGAGAUGUUAUCAGGUAUUAAAUAAGGGGGAAAGAUAAGUGGGAGGUGAAAUGACAUUUCUACCUUCAUAUGCACUACACAUGACUUAAUUUAACUGAAAAUAAUAACUGGGUUUGCCAUAAAGAAUAUAACAUGCAACAUUUUCAAACAUUAAGGACAAAAGUCAUCAAUUUUAAAGAUAAAGGGCAGCGACUGAAAUUUGGGACAAACAUAAAGGACAAAACUUGUAAUUUACUCAAAAAAAAAAAAAAAAAACUCUUUAUGCUAAGGGCACAACUUUAUAAAAAACAUAAUUGUUGCUUAUUUAUGAUUUAAUAAGGUUUCUUAAAACCAUCACACAAACUAAAAUACAUAGAGUACAAACAAUAAUGCCAAUUAUAAUUUGAUAAGGUUUCUUAAAACCAUCAUACAAACUUCAAUACUUAGAGUACAAACAACAAUGCCAAUUACAAUUUAAUAAGGUUUCUUAAAACCAUCAUACAAACUUCAAUACAUAGAGUACAAACAACAAUGCCAAGAAUUGUUACAAAUUGAUAGUAUAUAAUAUUCGUUGAUACAUAUAUAUAUAUAUAGGAAAAGUGUAAAAUACAAUGCGGUUUAACGUACAUCACGUACGACAACUUGCAUGAUUAUGUGUAUAACGUGCGUGAUUAAUGUUUUCAUCAUGCUGAUUAAUGUUUUCCAACAUGCAUGAUUUGGGUUUUUUAGUUUAUAACGUGCGUGAUUUUCAAAUGAACGUGUGUAAUUAUCUGUCGUACGUGAUGUAUGUUAAGCCGUAUUAUACGUUAACUGGCCUCUAUAUAUAUAAUAGUACAAUUCAUAAUACAGAUAGUCUAUGCGGUAGGCCUGAUUACAUUUUUAUAUAUUCUUAAUAUGUAGAAAUUAUCGUUUAAAAUUUAAAAUAUUCAAUAUUCAUUUA